rnacentral:rRNA from 1 species
UACAGAGGUGGCAAGCGUUGUUCGGAAUUACUGGGCGUAAAGGGCGCGUAGGCGGCCGAGCAAGUCCCGUGUGAAAUCCCCCGGCUCAACUGGGGAACUGCACGGGAUCCUGCCCGGCUCGAGUUCGGGAGAGGGAAGCGGAAUUCCGGGUGUAGCGGUGAAAUGCGCAGAUAUCCGGAGGAACACCAGCGGCGAAGGCGGCUUCCUGGACCGACACUGACGCUGAGGCGCGAAAGCUAGGGGAGCAAACGGG